rnacentral:rRNA from 1 species
GACGAACGCUGGCGGCGUGCUUAACACAUGCAAGCCGAACGGAAAGGCCCUGCUUUUGUGGGGUGCUCGAGUGGCGAACGGGUGAGUAACACGUGAGUAACCUGCCCUUGACUUUGGGAUAACUUCAGGAAACUGGGGCUAAUACCGGAUAGGAGCUCCUGCUGCAUGGUGGGGGUUGGAAAGUUUCGGCGGUUGGGGAUGGACUCGCGGCGUAUCAGCUUGUUGGUGGGGUAGUGGCUUACCAAGGCUUUGACGGGUAGCCGGCCUGAGAGGGUGACCGGCCACAUUGGGACUGAGAUACGGCCCAGACUCCUACGGGGGGCAGCAGUGGGGAAUAUUGCACAAUGGGCGGAAGCCUGAUGCAGCAACGCCGCGUGCGGGAUGACGGCCUUCGGGUUGUAAACCGCUUUCGCCUGUGACGAAGCGUGAGUGACGGUAAUGGGUAAAGAAGCACCGGCUAACUACG